AGCGAACGCUGGCGGCAGGCCUAACACAUGCAAGUCGAACGGAUCCUUCGGGUUGCCGGCGAGCGGCGGACGGGUGAGUAAUGCCUAGGAAUCUGCCUGUUAGUGGGGGAUAACGCGGGGAAACUCGCGCUAAUACCGCAUACGUCCUACGGGAGAAAGCGGGGGCUCUUCGGACCUCGCGCUAACAGAUGAGCCUAGGUCGGAUUAGCUAGUUGGUGGGGUAAUGGCUCACCAAGGCGACGAUCCGUAACUGGUCUGAGAGGAUGAUCAGUCACACUGGAACUGAGACACGGUCCAGACUCCUACGGGAGGCAGCAGUGGGGAAUAUUGGACAAUGGGCGAAAGCCUGAUCCAGCCAUGCCGCGUGUGUGAAGAAGGUCUUCGGAUUGUAAAGCACUUUAAGUCGGGAGGAAGGGCUGUAGGUUAAUACCCUGCGGUUUUGACGUUACCGACAGAAUAACCACCGGCUAACUUCGUGCCAGCAGCCGCCGUAACAC
rnacentral:rRNA from 1 species